UGCUUAACACAUGCAAGUCGAACGGAAAGGCCCUGCUUUUGUGGGGUGCUCGAGUGGCGAACGGGUGAGUAACACGUGAGUAACCUGCCCUUGACUUUGGGAUAACUUCAGGAAACUGGGGCUAAUACCGGAUAGGAGCUCCUGCUGCAUGGUGGGGGUUGGAAAGUUUCGGCGGUUGGGGAUGGACUCGCGGCUUAUCAGCUUGUUGGUGGGGUAGUGGCUUACCAAGGCUUUGACGGGUAGCCGGCCUGAGAGGGUGACCGGCCACAUUGGGACUGAGAUACGGCCCAGACUCCUACGGGAGGCAGCAGUGGGGAAUAUUGCACAAUGGGCGGAAGCCUGAUGCAGCAACGCCGCGUGCGGGAUGACGGCCUUCGGGUUGUAAACCGCUUUCGCCUGUGACGAAGCGUGAGUGACGGUAAUGGGUAAAGAAGCACCGGCUAACUACGUGCCAGCAGCCGCGGUGAUACGUAGGGUGCGAGCGUUGUCCGGAUUUAUUGGGCGUAAAGGGCUCGUAGGUGGUUGAUCGCGUCGGAAGUGUAAUCUUGGGGCUUAACCCUGAGCGUGCUUUCGAUACGGGUUGACUUGAGGAAGGUAGGGGAGAAUGGAAUUCCUGGUGGAGCGGUGGAAUGCGCAGAUAUCAGGAGGAACACCAGUGGCGAAGGCGGUUCUCUGGGCCUUUCCUGACGCUGAGGAGCGAAAGCGUGGGGAGCGAACAGGCUUAGAUACCCUGGUAGUCCACGCUGUAAACGGUGGGUACUAGGUGUGGGGUCCAUUCCACGGGUUCCGUGCCGUAGCUAACGCUUUAAGUACCCCGCCUGGGGAGUACGGCCGCAAGGCUAAAACUCAAAGGAAUUGACGGGGCCCCGCACAAGCGGCGGAGCAUGCGGAUUAAUUCGAUGCAACGCGUAGAACCUUACCUGGGUUUGACAUGGAUCGGGAGUGCUCAGAGAUGGGUGUGCCUCUUUUGGGGUCGGUUCACAGGUGGUGCAUGGCUGUCGUCAGCUCGUGUCGUGAGAUGUUGGGUUAAGUCCCGCAACGAGCGCAACCCUUGUUCACUGUUGCCAGCACGUUAUGGUGGGGACUCAGUGGAGACCGCCGGGGUCAACUCGGAGGAAGGUGGGGAUGACGUCAAGUCAUCAUGCCCCUUAUGUCCAGGGCUUCACGCAUGCUACAAUGGCUGGUACAGAGAGUGGCGAGCCUGUGAGGGUGAGCGAAUCUCGGAAAGCCGGUCUCAGUUCGGAUUGGGGUCUGCAACUCGACCUCAUGAAGUCGGAGUCGCUAGUAAUCGCAGAUCAGCAACGCUGCGGUGAAUACGUUCCCGGGGCUUGUACACACCGCCCGUCAAGUCAUGAAAGUUGGUAACACCCGAAGCCGGUGGCCUAACCGUUGUGGGGGAGCCGUCGAAGGUGGGACUGGUGAUUAGGACUAAGUCGU
rnacentral:rRNA from 1 species